GAUUGCAUGACUUGUAAAAUUACUGAUUUGGGGGCCUGCAGUGGUGUUUGACUGGAUAUUGCUGCCUGGUUCUGAAUGAUGUCAGAACAGGAUUUGGCAGAUGUUGUUCAGAUUGCUGUUGAAGACUUGACUCCAGAUAAUCCAGUUGUGUUGGAGAAUCAUGAAGUGACAGAUGAUGAUGUAGAGCCUGCUCUGAAACGUCAGCGUAUAGAAAUUAACUGCCAGGAUCCCUCUAUUAAGUCAUUCCUGUAUUCCAUUAAUCAGACAAUAUGCCUGCGGUUGGACAGCAUUGAGGCAAAGUUGCUGGCACUAGAGGCUACCUGUAAAUCACUGGAAGAGAAGUUGGAUCUUGUCAUGAACAAACAGCAUAGCCCCAUCCAAGUCCCCAUGGUGGCAGGUUCUCCUCUUGGUGCUACGCAGACAUGCAAUAAAGUACGAUGUGUUGUCCCUCAGACCACAGUAAUACUGAACAAUGACCGGCAGAAUUCAAUCGUAGCCAAGAUGGUUGGGCAAGAAGAGCCACUGAGCAGAACAGCGGAUUCUCUGGAAAAUAUCCUUAGCAAUGCUGUUCCUGGACGUAGGCAGAACACCAUAGUGGUGAAAGUUCCAGGGCAUGACGACAGUCACAAUGAAGAUGGAGAGAGUGGCUCUGAGGCCAGUGACUCCGUUUCCAACAAUGGACAAUUAGGAAACCAAAAUAUGGGGAACAAUGUCACACUUAUUACGCUGAACUCUGAAGAGGAUUAUCCCAAUGGGACAUGGCUCGGAGAUGAAAAUAAUCCCGAGAUGCGGGUCCGUUGCCCUAUCACGCCUGCUGACAUGCUGCACAUCAGCACAAACUGCCGCACAGCUGAGAAGAUGGCACUGACAUUGCUUGAUUACCUCUUCCAUCGGGAAAUUCAGGCCAUCUCCAACCUUUCGGGUCAGGGGAAGCAUGGGAAGAAGCAACUUGAUCCUCUCAUGAUUUACGGAAUUCGCUGUCACCUAUUUUACAAGUUUGGAAUCACAGAAUCUGACUGGUAUCGAAUCAAGCAAAGCAUAGACUCCAAAUGCCGAACGGCUUGGAGGCGGAAACAGCGAGGGCAGAGUCUUGCUGUGAAAAGCUUUUCAAGGCGAACACCUUCAUCAUCGUCUUACAGUGGUUCAGAGGGUUCGCAGAGUUCAGUUUCAGCUUCUAAUGAGCUCCAGCAGAACCAGCCCCAGGCGCUGCACUAUGCACUAGCCAAUGCUCAGCAGGUUCAGAUCCACCAAAUAGGAGAAGAUGGACAAGUCCAAGUAAUCCCACAGGGCCAUCUCCACAUAGCCCAGGUUCCUCAAGGCGAGCAAGUCCAAAUCACGCAGGACAGCGAGGGAAACCUGCAGAUACAUCAAGUUCACGUGGGUCAAGAUGGGCAGGUGUUGCAGGGUGCUCAGCUGAUAGCUGUUGCUUCUGCUGAGCCCGCGUCAGGGGGUGUUGAUGGAUCCCCGCUCCAAGGCAGUGAUAUCCAAGUCCAGUACGUGCAGCUGACACCAGUGACAGACCACUCUGCGACUAAUCAAGGCACUGACACCCUUCAAUCAGCGAUCCAGCCAGAGAUGCAGAUAGAACACGGAGCAAUCCAAAUUCAAUAAGAGAAUUGCGAAAACUGUGUCAAGCGAGAUGUCAGUGAAGCGCAGUCAGAAGUUAAGUGCUGUAGUCUUCGUGCAACAACAGGCGAAGGGAAAUGCCUGUUAGACUAUGGUCACACCUCGAACAUCUCCCGCAAAUAGCGGAUGAUCUGGUUGUCCUCACCUGGAAUAAAUCAGACCCGUUUAUCUUAGAUCGGAGCUGCAUCACUACAUCAGUUGAGAAUCUGGCCUUCAGAAAAAAUACACGGCCUGCCCUUAGGUACAUUUAAAGAGAAAAAAUUCUUUCAGAAAGAGGGAAAGAAAUCUAAUGAAUCCAAACCGUGAGACUAAAUUAAUGUUUCAUCCUGUUCAUUUCUUCUGUGAAAUACGCCAUUUGAAUGUCUGCAGGAAUGAACGCGGUUUGACUGGACUCUGCUGUAGUUCCGCAGUAUUUGAAGACAGAUGCUCUCUGGGAAGCCCUGCUGGCAAACUGAGAAGUAAGACUAAGUCUAUAAGGAAGAUACCAAUCUUAGAUCAUGUCGUUAUCUAAAUUUCCAAGACAAAUGUGAUAGCUAAGCUUUCGAUUCUGCAAAUCCUAUUUCAGACAAUGAAUUGAUGAAAUCAGUUUUUAAAAACGCGAAUGAUCCUUCUGAGCUCUGUCCCUUUUAGUGCCUCCCACCUCCUUUGUCUGGCCGUUUGUGGCAAUGCCUCAGUUUGGGAUUCAUCCCUAAAAAGCUGGGCUGCAAAAGUCUCAAACCCAUCUUGUUAUCCAACCUGCAACAGCAGGAUGAAAUCCUCUCUCCACUGAAACUUAUGGGAAGUUUGAUACCGAUUUCAAGAAAGCUGUGUUUUCAUAUUUGCUAAGCUCGAGUGGAAAGGGUACAUCUUUGCUAUAACCUGAUUAUCUUAAUGGUGCGUGUUUUAGAGAAAUAGAGUUUGCUGGGGGAGGCAUUGCUUUGUAGCUGGUUUUCAGCUGACUUGCUAUAUGGUUAUUGUCAAUAUAUGGCUCAUAAUGCAUUUAAUGUAUUAACGAAUGGGGCAUAGCCACAAAUUCAUGGCUGAAUUCAGGAUAACACCUUUUCUUUAUGAAAGGAAGGGUUAAGCACACCCAAUUUCUGGGAAUGUUGUCCCUGGUAAGUAUUACACUUUAUGUAAAUCCCUACUUCUCUUUAGGAUAUUUCUUGACGCACAAGCACAAUGCAAACUAAACCACAGCUUAUUGAAGACAAUGUCUGCAACAGGCCAAGAAUUUGGCUACACUUCAGUUUCUUUUUUUAAUAGUGUUUCUCAGACUGGGUAAUGUUUGAGGAGCUUGGCAUCCAAAUAGAAGCCUAAAAAUAAAGCAAGGCCUGUACAUUUUAGCAUGGCUCUUGAAUAAUAAUUUAUCACUUGCAAAGGGCAGUGAAAAAGCUGGGAUGGCAAAGCUGCUGUGUGCUACCACAUACCACGCUCUUGCUGUAUUCAUAUUGGCCACAGCAGCUUUCUGGUGUUCUUCAGAAAGUUUUACCCGGCUUUCCUUCUGUGUCCCGGGUAUCUUCUGCUUUCAAGGGGAGCACGGGUGCAUUUGAACUGUAGGGUGUCUGUCUGUGUUUUAUGGUGCAAUUAAGAAUUCUGUUCUCUUUGCGUUUUUCAGCUCAGGUACAAGAUGAAAUUGAGUUCAGGAGAGGUUCCCUUUAGCCACUAGACUGCUGCAUGCUCAAGUCUCUUCUGCUAAAAGUGACUGUAAAGGCAUACCUUGCAGCGAAGUAGCAUUCACUAGAGUUCAAGAGAAUGAAAACUACUUCACCAGUGUGGAAUGGAGAGUGUACAAAUCAAUUGAAAUAAAUAGGCAGGAUUAUUGAUUCAACACACUGAUCCUCUCCUGUGUGAAUUCAUCUCCCGAACAUCUGCACCAGGUGUCUGGCCACGGGUGAGGGGCUGGGACUGGAGCAGGAGAGGGAGCACGGCUUAAGGCCAAGGCCAUCCCAGACAGCGCUGCUGCCCACUGGAGCGUGGACCGGGUCAAGCAACG